rnacentral:rRNA from 1 species
CCUACGGGAGGCAGCAGUGGGGAAUAUUGCGCAAUGGGGGCAACCCUGAUGCAGCGACGCCGCGUGAGUGAAGAAGGAAUUCGUUUUGUAAAGCUCUAUCAUCAGGGAAGAAAAUGACGGUGCCUGAGUAAGAAGCCCCGGCGAACUACGUGCCAGCAGCCGCGGUAAUACGUAGGGGGCUGGCGUUAUCCGGAAUUACUGGGCGAAAAGGGUGCGUAGGUGGUUUCUUAAGUCAGAGGUGAAAGGCUACGGCUCAACCGUAGUAAGCCUUUGAAACUGGGAAACUUGAGUGCAGGAGAGGAGAGUGGAAUUCCUAGUGUAGCGGUGAAAUGCGUAGAUAUUAGGAGGAACACCAGUGGCGAAGGCGGCUCUCUGGACUGUAACUGACACUGAGGCACGAAAGCGUGGGGAGCAAACAGGAUUAGAUACCCUGGUAGUC